GCCUGUAGCAGUUUGCUCAGUGGAUUUGUGGAUUUUACCCAGUGAACUAUGGAGUUUGUUCCACCUAUCUGUAUCUCUGAAUUUGAACUCCAAUCUCAGAUUCAUAACUGAUGUAUCUCGAAGCGUGGGAAUUCACAGCACACAAAAUAUCCUCUUCUGCUCAACUGAUCCUCUGUUACUACUGACACUGACACAGGGCCGUUAUUUUUAUGCAGUCUGUAAAGGGAACUUAGGAGUGUGUCCAUCAAGGAGGAGUUACCUGUCUUCAUAACCAAGACGAGGACUGAGAGCUGAGAGGCUUCCCUCACUCAGUGCAGAGGUAAGGCUUACCUUGGCUUCCACAAGCUUCCCUUCAACCAGAAGAUAAUUUCAGAAUCUGGGUAGUAACUAGCACCCACCCACUGCUCACAAGACUUUUUUUCCAUGGAGAGAGUGUGAUGUGAAGCUUGGGAUACCUAUUGUACCUUCAGGAAUCACAGAUCCUGCCCCAGGGCAAAGGUGAGGAUGCCAAGAUGCAAACCAGAGCUGGCUGCAGAAUGAAGUGUAGGUAGCCUCAGUGGCAUGAUCUUUUAAUCCUGAUCAGGUAGCAGUUGAGUGAAAACUCCUCCUGUUUUGAUGUGAAGAGCACAGACCUUGUAUCCCACAAAUUGCUGUUGUGAUGAUUUUCUUUACAAGGAAAGACAUCACCUGGAGAAAUGCAGUCACUCAAGGAAGAAAAAUGCCAAGUCAUCUGAAGCUUUGUCUCUCCUGAUUGCAAUCAUAUUUUAUUCUCAAG
rnacentral:lncRNA from 1 species